GGAGGAAACUCUGAUGCAGCAACGCCGCGUGGAGGAUGACGCAUUUCGGUGCGUAAACCCUUUUAUAUGGGAAGAUAAUGACGGUACCAUAUGAAUAAGCGCCGGCUAACUCCGUGCCAGCAGCCGCGGUAAUACGGAGGGUGCAAGCGUUACUCGGAAUCACUGGGCGUAAAGAGCGCGCAGGCGGCCAUUUAAGUUGGAUGUGAAAUCCUAUGGCUCAACCAUAGAACUGCUUCCAAAACUGAUUACCUAGAAUAUGGGAGAGGUAGAUGGAAUUUCUGGU
rnacentral:rRNA from 1 species